rnacentral:lncRNA from 1 species
CAGACUCUGCUCUGUACUACUGUGCCUUGCAAUCCACAGUGACAGGAAACCCAGAAACAGAAAACCUGACAACAUACAGUAUACUGUAGAAAGAAAGCCGUAGCAGAAAACAUUUCACUUUGGUGUCAAGAGGAGGGGCUGUAUAAUCAAAGAUCUUAUGGGAAGUUAUUAUUCAGGAAGUAGCUAGUUAGUUACGUCUCUUAGUGCUGAAGUGCUGUCUGUCUGUCUGUGUGUUACUCAAAGGUCUAGCCAGAUGUUGCUCUUCUCAUGUGUUCUCUUUUCAGCUUUUUUAGGAAACAGUUUUGGUUUUUCAAUAAACCCUGCUACUACUGAAGAGCUUGUUCAGGAAGAAAGGAAUGUCAAUCUCUCCUGCAAAUAUGAUGGCAAUGUCUACAAUCUCCAGUGGUACCGCCAAUAUCCCAGGUCCAAACCAGAAUUCCUCCUGUACAUCACACCAGAGGGGUCUAUAUUUAAAGCUACUCCCCCACCUCCUCGUCUGACAGUUUCCAUUGACAAAGUGGAAAAACGUGUGGAUCUGAAGAUCUCCUAUGCUGUAGUGACAGACUCUGCUCUGUACUACUGUGCCCUGACGCCCACAGUGACAGGAAACCCAGAAAUACUGUACAAAAACAUGUCAAGUGCCAUGGAAAGAAACCAAUGAGAAGGGGAGGAGCUGCAUCUAGGCAAGAGACGAGUAAAUAUUCAGAGAUAGCCAAGAUUAUGUUUCUGUAUGCAGUGCUGCUGCUCUGCACAUGUGUAGAUGACAGUUUAGAGAAUGAUAUCGCUCCUUUAAGAAAUGAAGUGCAUGGCUUGGAGGGAACCACUGUCAUCGUGUCCUACAACUACUCCUCAACUUCUACAAUUGGAAAUAGAUUCUACUGGUAUCAUCAAACCAGUGCUGGGAAAAUGACAAUAUUCCUUCUAUGGAUGAUGAAUACAGACUUCCAAGAGAAUUGGCCGCCUGGUAGUCUGUUAUAUUGAUACAGAGACCAAACAUCUGGAUCUGAAGAUCUCCUCUGCUGAAGUGCCAUGAAGACCACAGCGACACUACAAAAACCUGUCAAGAACCAUGGGAGGAAACAGACAUCAUGUAUGACAUACAUAUGUAACAUAUCUACUGUAUGUUAAGGUGAGGGACUUAUGGUAGAGGAGGAGCUGAACAACAGUAUAGAAACCUAAAACAGGAGGAAACAUUCAGAGACUGCUGAGAUCUUUCUGUCAGUUUGUCUCUGUUAAUCUAAUAUGGUGUUGUUGGAUUCAGUGUUGUUCCUGACUAUAUGUAUGGGUAGGGGAUACAAUACAAUACAAUACAUGACAAAACAAUACAAUUCAAUACACUGCAUUGCCAUGAUUGUCAAUAUGAAUUCAAUUCAAGUUCAAUAUAUUUUAUUCAACAAUUAAAUGUAUGUGUAUUAAAACCAUUCUCUAUGCAG